CGGACGGGUGAGUAACGCGUGGGUAACCUGCCUCAUACAGGGGGAUAACAGUUAGAAAUGACUGCUAAUACCGCAUAAGACCACAGCAUCGCAUGGUGCAGGGGUAAAAACUCCGGUGGUAUGAGAUGGACCCGCGUCUGAUUAGGUAGUUGGUGGGGUAACGGCCUACCAAGCCGACGAUCAGUAGCCGACCUGAGAGGGUGACCGGCCACAUUGGGACUGAGACACGGCCCAA
rnacentral:rRNA from 1 species